UAUCCCAGAGGUUAUGAUAGGAUUUGUCGUUAUUGUCAUUCAGUUCAAAGAAUUUUUAAAUUUCCAUGUUGAUUUUGUUUUUGACCCAGUGAUCAUUCAGGAGCAGGAUCCCAGAAAUGCAGAUGGCCACUUUAUUUGCUACCCAACACUAAUACCGACGCUGGAAAAGUGAGAUGGCACCGAAUCCUGAGAGACAGAUACCUUAACUUAUUUAACUUAACUCAUUUAACUCAUGAUGGUGAAAUUUUACAAAAACACAUCCAGAGCCUGCAGCACUUUCUCAGAUUGACCAGCCUACAAUUGUGUAUCAACUGCUUGUUUACUAACUGCCAAGAACCUUUGUAAUCCCAAGGACUGCAGCAAAGCCAAGAAGCUGGUGUGUAAUAUCAACAAAGGCUGUGGCUAUGGCUGUCAGCUCCAUCAUGUGGUCUACUGCUUCAUGAUUGCAUAUGGCACCCAGCGAACACUCAUCUUGGAAUCUCAGAAUUGGCGCUAUGCUACUGGUGGAUGGGAGACUGUAUUUAGGCCUGUAAGUGAGACAUGCACAGACAGAUCUGGCAUCUCCACUGGACACUGGUCAGGUGAAGUGAAGGACAAAAAUGUUCAAGUGGUCGAGCUUCCCAUUGUAGACAGUCUUCAUCCCCGUCCUCCAUAUUUACCCUUGG
rnacentral:sRNA from 1 species